ACCAACCGGUCCGUGCCAGCAUAUUUUUACAGUGCUGUGUUUGCAUAAGGAGACAUACGAAGUUUCCCUUUGUUGAACCAAGAACCAGGUGACUUCACCUCUUCUUUUUUUCCUUUCCAACAACCAGAUUGGGGGGUUGUGGCAUUAUGCAAUCUAAACUAGAAACUAUUAACACUAGGGUGGGGUUCCGAUAAGGGAAACAUUUAAAGAUCAGGCAAAACGAGGUUAUAUCAAUGCUAACAAGCUGCGGUGGAGCAGUGGUUAGAGCGCAGUACUGCAGGCUACAGUAGGCUGCCUGCAGUUUGGCAGUUUGAAUCUCACCAGGCUCCAGGUUGCCUCAGCCUUCCGUCCUUCCGAGAUUAUGAACAAAGAAGAAGAAGAAGAUGAAGAUGACGAGUGAGCUAUAGAGGACAGUAUUUAAGUUUUUCAUAUGUAGGCUGGGCUGACAGUCUAAGUUUCUUAAAAUAUAUAUAUAUUGUUUAGCCAAAUUAGUUAACAAACAUGGAUGUUUGUUUAAGCAAAUAACAUAUGCUGUAAUGUUAUUGUUUCAGUUGAAUAAAUCUAUUUAAAUUGUUA